rnacentral:rRNA from 1 species
GUGGUUUAAUUCGAAGAUACACGAAGAACCUUACCUGGCCUUGACAUGGUAGGAACCUUAAGAGAUUAGGGGUGCUAGCUUGCUAGAACCUACACACAGGUGCUGCACGGCUGUCGUCAGCUCGUGUCGUGAGAUGUUGGGUUAAGUCCCGCAACGAGCGCAACCCUGUCCUUAGUUGCUAACAGUUCGGCUGAGCACUCUAGGGAGACUGCCUUCGCAAGGAGGAGGAAGGUGAGGACGACGUCAAGUCAUCAUGGCCCUUACGGCCAGGGCUACACACGUGCUACAAUGGGGCGUACAGAGAGCUGCGAUACCGCGAGGUGGAGCCAAUCUCUUAAAGCGUCUCUCAGUUCGGAUUGUUCUCUGCAACUCGAGAACAUGAAGCUGGAAUCACUAGUAAUCGCAGAUCAGCUAUGCUGCGGUGAAUACGUUCCCGGGUCUU